AUGCUCUGAUGUCUGCUGUCUGUGAAGCUCCCAACACCUGUGCUUGGCGGAUGCACGGCUGUUAGCUGGAAGCCCCGGUAAGAGAAUGAGUGAAAGGGACGUACAAAGCUUGAGCAGAUGGGUUUUAGUGCUCACUCUCUGCCUUACCACACUAUGGGGAAGACUGACGCUGGCCUCCACCCACCACAGAAGCCAUUCAGGCAGAGCUGGGGGUUCUCACUCGCAAAGAUUUACCCACAGAGGACCAGAGCUGUGCUUCUUAUUCAGGCAAACGCUGAUCCACAGCAAAGAGGGCAUAAUGGGAGCACACGCUGAGAAGUCCAACCCUGCUCUGAGUCUCUGUGUUGUCGAGGUUUCUUGCAGCACAUCCUUUAUGGUUGCUGUAGGACUUUUGCUGCUUGCACUGUUUCUUGCUUUCCCGGUUUUGCGGUGGUUCAUAGCAUUCAUUUUCCACUUGUCUGCCCCGUGCUUUUGCUUCAUUUAGGGCAUCUUUUAGUAAAGGUUAUGCUGGGAAUGCCCUUUUAUAAGGUUGUGUUCUCAGUGGCGAUGACAUUUUCCCCUGGAAAGCCUGCAGUUAUGCUGCUGCACACCGAGCUGAGCGGGAGGUGUGGGCUGGGAUUGCUGCACCUCUGCUGCUGGCAGAUGGCAUACACAGGGGGACAGUCACAUGCAGUGCUUUUGUCUGUGCACGGCACUGCAUUUAGUCACCUACCAGUGAAAAACUGCAGGAGGAAGGAUGCAAUUGUGACAACGCAGCCACAGGAUUUCACAGCCUGUAAACUGGGGAAUUUCUUGAAAGGAUGGAACGUGCAGAUCUCUGUUGGCCUUCCAGGAAGACAGUGCAUUUUUAACCUCUGGCUUUGGUGUAAAGUCUAAUUGCUCAUGUUCACUUCACACCUGGAGAAUGCUGACGUCAAAGCAGAGCAGUGCAUCCUGGUGUGUGCAACUGGAUUUAAGCAGCCACAUGGACCCUGUGCAUAGAUGGAGUCAUCUGGGGAUGGAGAAGGAGACUGAGUGCAGAAUGACCCACGUGCAGCUUGCUGUGUGAGCAGCAAGCCCUGCAGCUCUGGAUGGAGCCCCAGCACCUUCUGAUAAAUGUGAGAGCCACAGUGCCAUCCGUGCCACCACCCACAGCCAUCGCUCAGCUGAGCGGGCACAGGAGGAAGACCUGGCCAGCUGAGUGGGACACACUGCCAGCAGCGGGGGUUUCCACAGCAGCACCUUAUCAGCAGUUCUCAAUGCAAUCCCUGGAUUUGUUCUUCUGCUCGUGAGCAUCAGGUGCUGGGAGCUGGGGGAGCAGCUGUGUGUGCGUGCGUGCACUUGUACGUGCCGCAGAGGGGAACGGGAUGAGCUGAGUUCUGAUACGACAAGCUACUAAAAAGCUCCAGCCGGCGCACAGUGAUAACGAGCAAUAAAAACAGAAGCACUUCUCUCCAAACCCCUUUUAAAUAAUGCAUGCACCUGAGGCAGUAGUGAUUUUAAGACAUGAAUUAUUUAAGCCGUGGUAGCAGUGGGGCUGUUGCUGGGUGGGCAGCGUGGUCCCUCCGCCCUCCUGCCCUGCUUGGUGCUGCAGGUGUUGGCAUUGCCCUGCGGUUACCCUGCACUUCAGUGCGCCGAGAUCUUAGACUGAGCACGCAGGGCAUUGCCUGCUCCUCCUCGAGACGAAGCUGUCGUUUCAGGUUGUGCCAUCAGCAGCCCCGUUCUGCCACUGCUUAAAGGUCAGCCAGAGUAGGAUGGUAUUUUUGUUUUAUUUUUUUACCCACGGGAUUCAAAAGCCUCGUGCUUUCACGGCUCCUUUAUGGUUCCGUCAGAUAAGAGUUUCUUAAAAGGGCUCUGCUGGAGGCAGCUGUGUGCCAGCAGUGCUGGAGCUGUCCCAGGCUUGCAGGAUUUGCUGUGCUCACUCUCUGCUCUCCUCCAUGGGCUGCUCACUGCAGCUACCCUGGGGCUCUGUGCCCCCCAGGUGCCCUCUUACAGCCAACCAAACCCCGGCAUCCUUGCUUGUCCUGUGAAAAUCCCAUAAAAGCAAAGCGAGUCGUGGUCACGUUUGUCCUGUAAUGAUGCUUUCCUUUUCUCUUUCACCAAAGUGUUUAAUUUCUGCAUACAGAAACAGUGGAGGCUGUCAUUAAAACUGAAUUAUGAUGGCGUUUAAAAGGAAGGAUUAAAUUUAUGGCCAGAGAUGCUAUUACAAAAUACUUCCAGGAUAGGUAAUUGUGUAAUUAUUAUGGGCAGAAAUGAAAGCGAUGGUUCAUUAAAAGAAAAUGACCAUGAAAUAACAAUAAAUAACAGCAAGUAAUGGCACAGGCUGCUUUUCCCAUGCAUGGAUCUGCGUGCACAUUGCAGGAACCCAGCUCCCUUCUUCCCCUCUUCCCUCUCUGCCCAGCAGCUGCAUGACAGCCCAUACCCAGCGAGGCAGUGAUGCCAACACAACAAGCUCCGCUGGUGCUCAUUAAACGGGACCUGCAGGGAUCAGCGGUGCUCAGGUCAUGGGAAUCAAGUCUAUCCAGCCCUGUUUGGCUAAUUUGUAUUGUGCCUGCGUGGGCCGUUACCCAGCGAAAUGCAUUGAUUUGCGAUGCUAACCAGCUUCUGAACCCAGAUCCCGGCGGUGAUAAGCCAGCACAUCAGUUUUC
rnacentral:lncRNA from 1 species